UUGUUAUAGAUAUUCAAAUAACCCUGAAACAAAUGCUUAGGGAUUUUAUUGGUAUCAGGGUUAAUCGUGCCAAGAAAAGCGGCAUGGUCAAUAUAACCAGUAGUGUUAACAGUCGGGAGAGGAGUGGCAUUAACACCAUCCUUCAUGAACUUAAUCCACUGUUCACCAUAAACGUGACGAUGAGGGACAUAAAAAGUAAAAAUGUCUACAGUAGAGUCAAUAGCAAGGCCACGACGCAAUGGAGAAAGACGGAGAGCGCCAACGGCGUCCAUCUCGAAGGAGUCGCCAGCGAUAACCGGAGUAGUUGAAAUGGUAAUAAGACGACCAAUCUGACCAGCAAGGAAGCCAAGAUGGGAAAGGUCAUGCGGCAUACGCUCGGCGCCAGUUU
rnacentral:rRNA from 1 species